rnacentral:rRNA from 1 species
UAAUUUGAGAGUUUGAUCCUGGCUCAGGACGAACGCUGGCGGCGUGCCUAAUACAUGCAAGUCGAACGAACUCUGGUAUUGAUUGGUGCUUGCAUCAUGAUUUACAUUUGAGUGAGUGGCGAACUGGUGAGUAACACGUGGGAAACCUGCCCAGAAGCGGGGGAUAACACCUGGAAACAGAUGCUAAUACCGCAUAACAACUUGGACCGCAUGGUCCGAGUUUGAAAGAUGGCUUCGGCUAUCACUUUUGGAUGGUCCCGCGGCGUAUUAGCUAGAUGGUGGGGUAACGGCUCACCAUGGCAAUGAUACGUAGCCGACCUGAGAGGGUAAUCGGCCACAUUGGGACUGAGACACGGCCCAAACUCCUACGGGAGGCAGCAGUAGGGAAUCUUCCACAAUGGACGAAAGUCUGAUGGAGCAACGCCGCGUGAGUGAAGAAGGGUUUCGGCUCGUAAAACUCUGUUGUUAAAGAAGAA